GACGGAGGAUGCAAGCGUUAUCCGGAAUGAUUGGGCGUAAAGCGUCCGCAGGUGGCAAUGUAAGUCUGCUGUCAAAGCGUCUGGCUCAACCAGAUAAAGGCAGUGGAAACUACAUAGCUAGAGUAAGGUAGGGGUAGAGGGAAUUCCUGGUGUAGCGGUGAAAUGCGUAGAGAUCAGGAAGAACACCGGUGGCGAAAGCGCUCUGCUGGACCUUAACUGACGCUGAGGGACGAAAGCUAGGGGAGCGAAUGGG
rnacentral:rRNA from 1 species